UACGUAGGGUGCGAGCGUUAAUCGGAAUUACUGGGCGUAAAGCGUGCGCAGGCGGUUUUGUAAGCCAGAUGUGAAAUCCCCGGGCUUAACCUGGGAAUGGCAUUUGGGACUGCAAGGCUGGACGUUUGGCAGAGGAGACUGGGAAUUCAACGUGUAGCGGUGAAAUGCGUAGAGAUGUGGAGGAACACCAGUGGCGAAGGCGACCUUUCUGGGCUGUAACUGACGCUGAGGCGCGAAAGCGUGGGGAGCAAACAGG
rnacentral:rRNA from 1 species